CCUACGGGUGGCAGCAGUGAGGAAUAUUGGUCAAUGGGCGAGAGCCUGAACCAGCCAAGUCGCGUGAAGGAUGAAGGAUCUAUGGUUUGUAAACCUCUUUUAUCUGGGAGCAAAGUGAGGAACGUGUUCCUUUUUGUAUGUACCAUAUGAAUAAGCAUCGGCUAACUCCGUGCCAGCAGCCGCGGUAAUACGGAGGAUGCGAGCGUUAUCCGGAUUUUUUGGGUUUAAAGGGUGCGUAGGUGGUCAAUUAAGUCAGCGGGGAAAGUUUGUGGGCCAACCAUCAUAGUGCCGUUGAAACUGGUUGUCUUGAGUGUGUUAGAAGUAUGCGGAAUGCGUGGUGUAGCGGUGAAAUGCAUAGAUAUCACGCAGAACUCCGAUUGAGAAGGCAGCAUACCGGCGCAUAACUGAC
rnacentral:rRNA from 1 species